AGCGAACGCUGGCGGCAGGCCUAACACAUGCAAGUCGAACGAACUCUUCGGAGUUAGUGGCGGACGGGUGAGUAACACGUGGGAACGUGCCUUUUGGUUCGGAAUAACUCAGGGAAACUUGUGCUAAUACCGAAUGUGCCCUUCGGGGGAAAGAUUUAUCGCCAUUAGAGCGGCCCGCGUCUGAUUAGCUAGUUGGUGAGGUAACGGCUCACCAAGGCGACGAUCAGUAGCUGGUCUGAGAGGAUGACCAGCCACACUGGGACUGAGACACGGCCCAGACACAACGGGGGGGAGGGGGUGGGGAAUCUGGAGAAGGGGGAAAAAGUCGAACGCACCAAGGCCGGGGGAAGAAUAAAGUUCUAGGGGUAAAAAAAUUUUUCCACGGGGGAGAAAAAGGAGGUAACCGGAAAAAGAGGCCCGGAAAAACUUGGGC
rnacentral:rRNA from 1 species